GCAGAUGUAGCCUAGUGGUAAGACGCUGGCUUCGAGAGCCAGUGCGCGAAAGCGCUCGGGGGUUCAAAUCCCUCCAUCUGCG
rnacentral:tRNA from 1 species